rnacentral:rRNA from 1 species
UACGUAGGGGGCAAGCGUUAUCCGGAUUUACUGGGUGUAAAGGGAGCGUAGACGGCAAUACAAGUCGGAAGUGAAAUACCCGGGCUCAACCUGGGAACUGCUUUGGAAACUGUAUGGCUGGAGUGCUGGAGAGGUAAGCGGAAUUCCUAGUGUAGCGGUGAAAUGCGUAGAUAUUAGGAGGAACACCAGUGGCGAAGGCGGCUUACUGGACUGUAACUGACGCUGAGGCACGAAAGUGUGGGGAGCAAACAGG